rnacentral:SRP_RNA from 1 species
CCAGGGACCUCUUGGAGUAAUAUACUUCGAACCAGGUCAGGACCGGAAGGUAGCAGCCUUAAGAGGGCUCUGUUAUGCCUAGAGAUAAUCUCUGGUCG